AAAUUGAAGAGUUUGAUCAUGGCUCAGAUUGAACGCUGGCGGCAGGCCUAACACAUGCAAGUCGAGCGGAAACGACAACAUUGAUUCUUCGGAGGAUUUGUUGGGCGUCGAGCGGCGGACGGGUG
rnacentral:rRNA from 1 species